rnacentral:lncRNA from 1 species
AGACCGCCACGGUGACUUGCAAGCAACUCACUGCACUUAGGCACUGGACUACCUGAAUUUUUAAUUCAGUGACGGAAGGCUGCUGGGUGUAGUCAAGUACUUGACUUGUCGGUGCGUGUGUCAAGAUGGGAUUGACCACUUCAGUUUAGGAGCUGUGUACAGUCAUGUUUUAAUUUAGCAAAACCUUGACCAGGGUAGUCCUUGUGAGGAGUCACAGGACUGUUUGAGUUGAGCACGAUUCGGAUGAUCUGAUCAGGGUUGACAGUUUAACCCUGAGUCAUCCUAAACACAGGG